UCGGCGGCGUCCCAAGUGCGGCGCCGGCGGAAGGCCUUGUAGCAGUGAGACUGGAACUUGAGCCAGCCGGAGCCGCACGACGCCGUGUCUGCGGGGGCGGGGCAGGAAGUGAGCAGGAAGUCCGCGGAAAUGCGCGACCGCAUCCUCAUAAGCGGCCGUUUUGCGUUCACGUCCGCUUGAAUCGGGGCAUCGGCCCCGUCGGGGGCUUUGGGCGGAGUUCACGGAGAGGGAAGCGCGAGUCCCGGGAGGACGGCGGUGCUGCUGAGUCACGCUACAAAAAUGGAGGCGGCGACCGUCUUCCGGGGACGACGCCCGAGCGCAGCUGAGGAGCAAACGACCCCGGGACCCCGAGACCCAAAGGAUGCACCAUUUUUUUUCUGCGGAACGGACCCCCGGCUAUUUCUGAAACAGCAUUUCUCAAUCGCAAUGUAGAAGAUGAAUUGGCUGGUGUUUAAAUGUGUUUGUAUUGUUUUACAAGUGUGUUUAUAGACCUUAAAACAUAUUAAUAUUG